rnacentral:rRNA from 1 species
GACGAACGCUGGCGGCGUGCCUAAUACAUGCAAGUAGAACGCACAGUUUAUACCGUAGCUUGCUACACCAUAGACUGUGAGUUGCGAACGGGUGAGUAACGCGUAGGUAACCUGCCUGGUAGCGGGGGAUAACUAUUGGAAACGAUAGCUAAUACCGCAUAAUAUUAAUUAUUGCAUGAUAAUUGAUUGGAAGGUGCAAAUGCAUCACUACCAGAUGGACCUGCGUUGUAUUAGCUAGUAGGUGAGGUAACGGCUCACCUAGGCGACGAUACAUAGCCGACCUGAGAGGGUGAUCGGCCACACUGGGACUGAGACACGGCCCAGACUCCUACGGGAGGCAGCAGUAGGGAAUCUUCGGCAAUGGACGAAAGUCUGACCGAGCAACGCCGCGUGAGUGAAGAAGGUUUUCGGAUCGUAAAGCUCUGUUGUAAGAGAAGAACGGGUGUGAGAGUGGAAAGUUCACACUGUGACGGUAUCUUACCAGAAAGGGACGGCUAACUACGUGCCAGCAGCCGCGGUAAUACGUACGUCCCGAGCGUUGUCCGGAUUUAUUGGGCGUAAAGCGAGCGCAGGCGGUUAAAUAAGUCUGAAGUUAAAGGCUGUGGCUUAACCAUAGUACGCUUCGGAAACUGUUAACUUGAGUGCAGAAGGGGAGAUUGGAAUUCCAUGUGUAGUGUGAAC